CCCCACCCCUCUCUACACUGCUUUCAGUGGACUGGACUCCUUUGUUAGAGCAGAAGAGGAAGCCCUGCUGUGCCAUGAAGCGUUGGCCGACUAGGUCCUUGGAACAGCCGGAGCACUGGAAGCACUGUGGCGCAGCGUGCCAUUGGUGCUCGCCGUAGGAAACCCUCUGAGCCUCGGGCUCCAUCGCAUCCUGGCAGGCUGAGCAUUUCUAGGAUGAAGAGGGAUAUGAUGACGUCAGGUCACACAUGGGUCUUUUUACGUUGAUAUUUUACAUGUUUGACUGUUCUGUUUUCAUGUUGAUAUUCAAACUUUGCAUUUUAAGUCUGUCAAUUAUUUGCCUUUUCGCAGCAUAUUACCAAAACAAAUUAAAAGUGAAAGAAAAUGAGACAAGCUUCUCAUCAUUUAAUUCGUACAGAAUAAAAUGAUCAGUCGUGUUUAUUACGAUCCUGCAGGGGCCACAGACACUGACUUUUUUUAGCAAGUUGUUUCAGGAACAACUUGCCAACCCUACCUUAAAGUAUUUAUUUGGUAGAACAUUGCUUGGUAGAACAAUGGAAUCCCUAGUUCUUUAACAAUGGCAACAUCAGAAGUGAAGACAAGUGUGACGUUGCAUAAAAACUGUGGCUUUGCAGGGGAUUAUGUUGGACAAAUCAUGCCAACACAUGCCGAGUGCUUCACAUUCUUGGCGCUCAUUUACAAUCGUUCUCUUUUAUCAUUUCUUCACGGAGGUCUGUUGUUUAAUCUGCAUAACACCCAUUCAAAAUAAACUGACGCUACCUGA